rnacentral:rRNA from 1 species
CACCAGCAGCUCAAGUUGUGCCCACGUUUAUUUGGUUUAAAGCGUACGUAGUCGGUGCUGCAAGUUCCCUGUAAAAUUCUCUAGCUCAACUAGGGAAACGCAAGGAAUACUACAACACUAGGGGUCGGGAGAGGUAUGAGGUAUUCCUCGGGUAGCGGUGAAAUGCUAUAAUCCUAGGAGGACCACCAGCAGCGUAGGCGUCAUACCAUAACGAGCCCGACGAUGAGGAACGAGAGCUAGGGGAGCAAACCGG